CUCUGGUUGUUUGUAAUGUCAAGUGUCAAUGACCCCUUCAAUGUCAGUGUCAUUGAACCCUACCCAGUAACGAAAAGAUCCGCGGUUUAAAGGGCCCGACGAUGGCGGCCCCCAAUUUGUUCUUUGUGUAAAAAAAAUUCAUUAGAAUUUUGUGAGGGGUUUAAAAACUUUUCCCAAGAUUCUGCGAGGAAAAUUUGUGCAGCAAUGAUGGGAAUAUCGCAGUUGGUUCCUUUGAAAUUAGACCGACAGACGCAUCCAUGGGCGGCGUGACAGACAAAUUUAUCAGACUUGCAAUUGCAUAGCUCCAUGCAGUGCGUUCCAUAGAAUCCUUCGGGACAGAGAUCUUCGCACCUGGCUCCCAUAAAUCCAGGAUCACAGAUGCAAGUCCCAUCAUUUUUACGACACUUGGACUUAUUGCUGCACUUGCACUGGAAGGCACAAUUGCUGCCGUAGUAGUUGUCUGGACACGGCUCAUUGCAAUUGGAUCCUGUCCAGCCAGGUACACACUGACACUGCCCUGUAACGUGUGAACAUUCAGCACCAUGGAAGCAAUUGCACUUGAGGCUACACUGAGGUCCGUAGGAGCCCACAGGACAAGGAUGUUCGCACAUCAAACCCAUAUAGCCCGGACGACAUUUGUACUCCCCUGUAAUGUGAUCACAAGUCGCAUUGCCAUGCAGUGAAGUUGGACACUUCUCUUUGCAUCCCAAUCCAUAGAAACCCUGUGGACAGGGUUCCCGGCACUCAAAACCCGUCCAACCUCUGGAACAGACACAUUCUCCAGUUUCUGGAUCACAUGAGGAAUUAUUCAUGCAGGUACAGCUGAACUGACAUUGCUCACCGAAUGUUCCCAUUGGACAUUGUGUUUCGCAGUGAACACCUAAGAAUUGAAUUAGUCAUUUAGGAAAGACAUUAAGAUAGUUGCUCUACUGCAAAAGAAUGUUUCAACCGGAACAAAUAUUAGAGCAGAUCAAUU